GGAAGUAAAAAAUCGUAACAAGGUCUCCGUUGGUGAACCAGCGGAGGGAUCAUUACAGAGUUGCAAAACUCCCUAAACCAUUGUGAACGUUACCUAUACCGUUGCUUCGGCGGGCGGCCCCGGGGUUUACCCCCCGGGCGCCCCUGGGCCCCACCGCGGGCGCCCGCCGGAGGUCACCAAACUCUUGAUAAUUUAUGGCCUCUCUGAGUCUUCUGUACUGAAUAAGUCAAAACUUUCAACAACGGAUCUCUUGGUUCUGGCAUCGAUGAAGAACGCAGCGAAAUGCGAUAAGUAAUGUGAAUUGCAGAAUUCAGUGAAUCAUCGAAUCUUUGAACGCACAUUGCGCCCGCCAGCAUUCUGGCGGGCAUGCCUGUUCGAGCGUCAUUUCAACCAUCAAGCCCCCGGGCUUGUGUUGGGGACCUGCGGCUGCCGCAGGCCCUGAAAAGCAGUGGCGGGCUCGCUGUCGCACCGAGCGUAGUAGCAUACAUCUCGCUCUGGUCGCGCCGCGGGUUCCGGCCGUUAAACCACCUUUUAACCCAAGGUUGACCUCGGAUCAGGUAGGAAGACCCGCUGAACUUAAGCAUAUCAAUAAGCCGGAGGAA
rnacentral:rRNA from 1 species